rnacentral:rRNA from 1 species
UGACAUUGUUUAACGGCCGCGGUAUUCUGACCGUGCGAAGGUAGCGUAAUCACUUGUCUUUUAAUUAAAGACCUGUAUGAAAGGCAUCACGAGAGUCUAACUGUCUCUAUUUUCUAAUCAAUGAAAUUGAUCUUCCCGUGCAGAAGCGGGAAUAAAACCAUAAGACGAGAAGACCCUAUGGAGCUUUAAACACUUAAGCUAUUAUUUUAUAAAAUNNGUUAAUCCAAGGACUUAACUUCACNNUAACAAUGAUGUAUCUUAAUGUUUUCGGUUGGGGCGACCGAGGAGUAAAAAAGAACCUCCUCAUCGAUUGAGUNNAUUUNNNNACUUAAAAAUUAGANNNNNNNNCAGUUCUGAUUUAUAGAAUAUUNNAACGAAUAAUGAUCCAGGAAUAAAUUUCUGAUAAUGAACCAAGUUACCCUAGGGAUAACAGCGCAAUCCUUUCUAAGAGCCCAUAUNNNCGGAAAGGGUUUACGACCUCGAUGUUGGAUCAGGACAUCCUAAUGGU